rnacentral:lncRNA from 1 species
ACCAAUAGUAUCUUCAUUCCUCUAUGACUUCCCAAGUUCUCUCAGUGGUUAUGCAGAAUUUUUUAAAUUUUGUAGGGCAAUGCUGAUUUCUAGUCUGGCAUGUCAGUUACUUAGAAGUUGCCACUCCAUCGUAACAACAAAUAAAAAGAUAACAAAAUCAUCAGUUCUUGUUACAUCUGGUAGAGAAGUGAGUGCAGAUCACUGUCUAUCACUCCCAAUGUUGGAGAAACAGACAGACAGAUACAGAGAAUCACAACUUAUCUGAGCAGAAACCCUGGAUCAAAAAUCUCUGCAGGAACCAGUGGCAGGGUGGACCUGAACUGUAAUUGAUAAAUUGUUGAAGCACAGUGUGGACAACUCUGAGACUUAAAAACUCCAGGAGGCCCUGUUUUCGGGAGGCUGCUGCAUUUUUAUAAAUUUUACCUUCAGAAGUGCUACCAAUUCUUCACAGUAAAUAUUGGAAAAAACUUCCCUUUGUGAUGUUGGUAGGGGGAGACGAAAAGUAAUCAUUUUGAAAGAUGCCAUAGCAUUCUCUUCUUCUUAAUAUAAGGCCUGCCUUCAGGGGAAACUAUUUAGCAGAGACUAAUCUGCUGGGGUUUUAUGAAAGCCUAACUGUCCUGGGGAAAGGAAGCCUUCUACAUGGAGGAAGGGAAAUACACAGCACUUGCCCUCUUCCAGCCAUCCUGCUCCACCUAAGUGGGAGAGGACCAGGAGGCACUAGCGAAGUUCAUGGUCCAAGGGCACAAUCUUACCAAAAGAAUGAGACCAAAUUAUAAGACAAAAACUUUUCUUGUCCCCACAAUUUACUGUUAUAUUGCUAAAGGUCUACUUAGUGCAGUUUCUUGUAUCCUGUAGGUUAUAUCCAUUUUUCAACAAAGAAUUAUAAGGCAUACUCAUAGGCAAAAACAAAGUUUGAGAGACUGAAUAAGAUUCAGAACCAGUCAGUUAUAGAAAGAAUGCCAGAAUUAUCAGAUCAAGAAUCAAAACAAAAUCUCCCCAAAAAUCUAUAAUUACUAUGCUAAGAGCUUUAAUGGAAAAUGUAGAUAAUAUGCCAAAACAGAAGAAUAAUAUAAGCAGAGAGAUAGAAAUUAUAUCAAAGAGUCAAAAAUAAUGCUAGAAAUUAAAGACUCUGUAACAGAAAUGAAGAAUUUAUCGUGUGGGUUCAUUAGACUGGACGUGGCUGAGGAAAGACUGUCUGAGCUUGAAGAUAUGACAAUAGAAUCUUCAAAAACUAAAAACAACAGAGAAAAAAAUGCUGAAUAAAACCCCCCACAAAAACAGCAUAAUAUCCAAGAGCUGUGCAACAACAAAAUGUAUAACAUAAGUAUAAUGAGAAUACCGGAAAAAGAAGAAAGAAUGGAAUGAACAGAAAGGUUAUUUGAGAAAAUAAUGAUGGAGAAUUUUCCCAAAUUAACGUCAGAAACUAAACAACAAACCCAGGAAACUCAGAAAACACAAAGCAGGAUAAAUGCCAGAAAACCUAUAUCUGGCCAGGAGUGGUGGCUCACACCUGUAAUCCCAGCACUUUGGGAGGCUGAGGCAGAUGGAUCAUGAGGUCAGGAGUUCGAGACCAGCCUGGCCAACAUGGUGAAACCCCAUCUGUACUAAAGAUACAAAAAAUUAGCCAGGCAUGGUGGAACAUGCCUGUAAUCCCAGCUAUAUGGGAGGCUGAGGCAUGAAAAUCAUUUAAACCCGGGAAGAAGAGGUUGCAGUGAGCCCAGAUUGCACUAUUGCACUCCAGCUUAGUGACAGGGUAAGACUCCUUCUCAGAAAAAAGAAAAAAAAAAAAAAGUUAAAAAAAGUUGUGAAAGAAGCCAGAGGGAAGAAAAAAAAAAAUUUCAAAGGUAAGAAUUACAUACAACUUCCCCUCAAACAACAUGCCUGAAAGAAGAGUGUAGAAUAAAAUAUUUGAGGGGUUGAGAGAAAAAAUAAAACAAACAAACAUAAAAACACCAACUUAGAAUUUAUUAUCCCUCAAAUGUGAAGGAGUAGUGAAGAUUUUCACAGAAAAACAAAAGUUGAGGGAAUUUUUUGCCAUCAGAUGUCUUGCAAGAAGAGUUAAAAACCUGUUUUUCAGUACAAAGAAAAAUUAUAUAGGUCAGAAAUGCAGAUCUAAAUAAAGACAGGAAGAACGUUAGAGAAUAAAUAAGUAAAAAACAAUACUUUUAUUUUUCUUAUUCUUAGUUUAUCCAAUAGAUAACAAAAUUGUUCAAAAUAACAGUAGAAGCUAUAUUCAAUUAUUUACAACUAUAUAUAUUUAUAUAUGCUUAUGUAUAAGUAAAAUGUAUGACAUCACUGAUAAUACAAGGAACAGGAGGAAAAAAUAGGAAUAGUUUGUUAUUAUGAGUUAUACUUCCUGUUAAGUAGUAUAAUGUUAUCUGAAAAUGGGCUUGAAGUAAUUCUAAAUAUAGAUUGUAAAAUCUCAACCACUUAAUUUUUUUAAAUGCAUAAUUAUGACAAUAAGAACGGAGAAUGAAUGAAAUUAUAUAAAAUACCCAAUUAAAAUCACAAAAGGCAGAAAAAGUUUGGAAGAUAAAAAUAGAAACAAAAAACAAUAGUGACAAAAACAAUAACAAAUAUGGUAGCUAUUAAUGCAACUAUAUCACUAAUAACCUUAAACAUUAAUAGGCUAAAUACACCAAUUAAAAAACAGAUUGUCAGAGUAAAUUAAAAGAAAACUGUGUACUAGUUACAAGAAGCCCACAUUAAAUGUAAUUACACAUAUAGUUUUAAAAUAAAGCGAUGAAGAAAGAUAUACCAUUCUAACAUGAAUCAAAAGAAUCGGGAAGCCGGGCGCGGUGGCUCAUGCCUGUAAUCCCAGCACUUUGGGAGGCCAAGGCAGGCAGAUCACCUGAGGUUGGGAGUUUGAGACCGGCCUGACCAACAUGGAAAAACCCUGUCUCUGCCAAAAACACAAAAUUAGCCGGGUGUGGUGGCACACACCUGUAAUCCCAGCUACUUGGGAGGCUGAGGCAGGAGAAUCACUUGAACCCGGGAGGCAGAGGUUGCAGUGAGCAGAGAUGGGGUUUCUCCAUGUUGGUCAGGCUGGUCUUGAACUCCCAACCUCAGGUGAUUCGCCCCCUUCAGCCUCCCAAAGUGCUGGGAUUACAGGCAUGAGCUACCGCACCCAGCCAUUACUGCUUUUUUAACAUCAUCCUGGAAGUCCCAGUUGAUGUGAUAAGUCAAUACGAGAAAUUUAAAAUUACAUAGAUUGAAAAGACAAAAUGAAACAGUCUUUGUUCAUAGGUGAUAUUAUCAUUGACAUGAAGAAAUGGAAAAAAUUAGAGGACCAGACAAUUUAAAAAACCUUCUCAGAACUAAUAUGCAAUUAUAGCAAGGUUGCAGGAUACAAGGUUAAUAUACAAAGGGCAAUUCUGUAUAUACCAGCUAUGAAUAAGUGGAAUUUGAAAUAAAAAAUGUCAUAAC